rnacentral:rRNA from 1 species
UACGUAGGGGCAAGCGUUGUCCGGAUUUAUUGGGCGUAAAGAGCGUGUAGGCGGCCAGGUAGGUCUGCUGUGAAAACUCGAGGCUUAACCUCGAGAUGUCGGCGGAAACCAUCUGGCUAGAGUCCGGAAGAGGAGAAUGGAAUUCCCGGUGUAGCGGUGAAAUGCGCAGAUAUCGGGAAGAACACCCGUGGCGAAGGCGGUUCUCUGGGACGGUACUGACGCUGAGACGCGAAAGCGUGGGGAGCGAACAGG